CCCACAAGGCCUUUACUGACGCUAAAGCUCGAAGGUGCGGGUAUCGAACAGGAUUAGAUACCCUGGUAGUCCGCACGGUAAACGAUGGAUGCCCGCUGUUCGCGAUAUACUGUGAGCGGCCAAGAGAAAUCGUUAAGCAUCCCACCUGGGGAGUACGCCGGCAACGGUGAAACUCAAAGGAAUUGACGGGGGCCCGCACAAGCGGAGGAACAUGUGGUUUAAUUCGAUGAUACGCGAGGAACCUUACCCGGGCUUGAACUGCAGCGGAAGGAAACAGAGAUGUUGACGCCCUUCGGGGCCGCUGUGGAGGUGCUGCAUGGUUGUCGUCAGCUCGUGCCGUGAGGUGUCGGCUUAAGUGCCAUAACGAGCGCAACCCUUUCCGUUAGUUGCCAUCAGGUAAUGCUGGGCACUCUGGCGGUACUGCCACCGUAAGGUGUGAGGAAGGUGGGGAUGACGUCAAAUCAGCACGGCCUUUACGUCCGGUUGUACACACCUGUUACAAUGGGGGGUACAGAGAGUCGGGUACGGGCAACGUCACCCCAAUCAUGAAAGCCCUCCUCAGUUCGGAUUGGGGUCUGCAACCCGACCCCAUGAAGCUGGA
rnacentral:rRNA from 1 species